rnacentral:rRNA from 1 species
AGUGGCGCACGGGUGAGUAACACGUGAGCAACCUGCCCCUGAGACAGGGAUAGCCCCGGGAAACUGGGAUUAAUACCUGAUGGUCUCGCAAGAGUAAAGCAGCAAUGCGCUCGGGGAGGGGCUCGCGGCCUAUUAGUUAGUUGGCGGGGUAACGGCCCACCAAGGCGAUGACGGGUAGCCGGUCUGAGAGGAUGUCCGGCCACACUGGAACUGAGACACGGUCCAGACACCUACGGGUGGCAGCAGUCGAGAAUCAUUCACAAUGGGCGCAAGCCUGAUGGUGCGACGCCGCGUGGGGGAGGAAGGUCUUCGGAUUGUAAACCCCUGUCAUGUGGGAGCAAGGCGCAAGCUUGAUAGUACCACAAGAGGAAGAGACGGCAAACUCUGUGCCAGCAGCCGCGGUAAUACAGAGGUCUCAAGCGUUGUUCGGAAUCACUGGGCGUAAAGGGUACGUAGGCGGCCGCAUAAGUCGUGCGUGAAAGGCAGGGGCUCAACCUCUGGAGUGCGCAUGAUACUGUGCGGCUGGAGUAAUGGAGGGGGAACCGGAAUUCUUGGUGUAGCAGUGAAAUGCGUAGAUAUCAAGAAGAAGACUCGUGGCGAAGGCGGGUUCCUGGACAUUUACUGACGCUGAGGUACGAAGGCCGGGGGAGCGAAAGAGAUUAGAUACCCCUGUAGUCCCGGCAGUAAACGGUGCACGCUUGGUGGGCGGGGGAAAUCGACCCCCUGGGGUGCCGGACCAAAUGUAUAAAGGGUACGGCCUGGGGAUACCGGUGGCAAGAUAAAAACUCAAAGGAAAUUGAGGGGGGCCCGCACCAAGCGGAGGAGCUUGUUGGUUUAAUUCGACGAUUCGCGAGGAACCUUCCCCGGGUUAGAACGCAAGGCGAACGACACAGAGAUGUGAAGGCCCUUCGGGGCGCCUUGUGAGGUGCUGCAUGGUUGUCGUCAGCUCGUGCCGUGAGGUGUCAGGUUAAGUCCUAUAACGAGCGCAACCCCUACCCCCAGUUGCCAUCGGUUCGGCCGGGCACUCUGAGGGAACUGCCCACGCAAGUGGAGAGGAAGGCGGGGAUGACGUCAAAUCAGCACGGCCCUUACGUCCGGGGCGACACACGUGCUACAAUGGCCGGCACAGAGGGCAGCCACCUGGUGACAGGGAGCGAAUCCCGAAAGCCGGUCUCAGUCCGGAUCGGAGUCUGCAACUCGACUCCGAGAAGCUGGAAUCGCUAGUAAUCGCGCAUCAGCCAUGGCGCGGUGAA